rnacentral:lncRNA from 1 species
UUAACAGGCAAUAACUUCAAACACUGGUGGUGAAUAUAGAUUUUGCUCAAGAAAACAAGUUCUGUCCUAACUUCCUUCUAUGAAGAGCAGGGAGGCUAGCUACGAAUUUGAGAAUUGUUCUUCUUAUAAUGAAGCUUACACAACUGGAGAGCACUGAUGUGGCAUCAUUGAAUAGAGCAAGGGAAACUGACUCAGAAUAAGCGACUCUAGAAGCAGCUGGGAAACAAGGCUGUACCUGCUGGGGCUGACUGUGAUGGACUUGAGUGAUGUGGGAAGACCGAUGUUAACUGUGGAUGAGUCCAUUCUCUAGAAAGGAGCUGAGAAAGAGAGCUGAGCACCAGUGUGCCUCAGUUUUGCUUCCUGAUUGUAGAUGCUACUUCAAGUCCCUGCUACCUUC